UUCUAUUAUAUUAUAAUUAAUAGUAAGAUCUGCUCAAUGAUAUUAAAUAGCCGCUUUUGUGCUAAGGUAGCAUAAUCAUUUGUCUUUUAAAUGAAGACUAGAACAAAAGAUUUAACAUUUUAAUAAAUAUUUUAUAUUAAAUAAUUUAAAUUAUCUUAAAAGUUAAAAGACUUUUAUAAAUUAGAAAGACGACAAGACCCUAUUGAACUUUACUAUAGUUUGGCUGGGGCAGUUAAUAAAUUAAAACUUUAAUUAAAAAUUAAUUUUAAAAAGAUCUAAUUUAAUUAAUUAAUUAAUUAAGUUACCAUAGGGAUAACAGCGUAAUAUAAUUUUAAAGAUCUUAUAAUAAAUUAAGUUUACGACCUCGAUGUUGAAUUAAUUACCUAAUUAAAGCAAAAAUUAAUACAGGAAGUCUGUUCGACUUUUUAAAAAUUACAUGA
rnacentral:rRNA from 1 species